rnacentral:rRNA from 1 species
GACGAACGCUGGCGGCGUGCUUAACACAUGCAAGUCGAACGGAAAGGCCCCUUUGGGGGUACUCGAGUGGCGAACGGGUGCGUAACACGUGAGUAACCUUCCCUUGACUUCGGGAUAACUUCAGGAAACUGGGGCUAAUACCGGAUAGGAAUCCUUGCUGCAUGGUGGGGGUUGGAAAGCUUCGGCGGUUUUGGAUGGACUCGCGGCCUAUCAGCUUGUUGGUGGGGUAGUGGCUUACCAAGGCUUCGACGGGUAGCCGGACUGAGAGGGCGACCGGCCACAUUGGGACUGAGAGACGGCCCAGACUCCUACGGGAGGCAGCAGUGGGGAAGAUUGCACAAUGGGCGGAAGCCGGAUGCAGCAACGCCGCGUGCGGGAUGACGGCCUUCGGGUUGUAAACCGCUUUCAGCAGGGGCGAAGCUUGUGGUGACGGUACCUGCAGAAGAAGCACCGGCUAACUACGUG